UCCCUACGGGGGGCAGCAGUGGGGGAUAUUGCACAAUGGGGGGAACCCUGAUGCAGCGACGCCGCGUGGGUGAAGAAGCGCCUCGGCGCGGAAAGCCCUGUCAGCAGGGAAGAAAAUGACGGUACCUGAAGAAGAAGCCCCGGCUAACUACGUGCCAGCAGCCGCGGUAAUACGUAGGGGGCAAGCGUUAUCCGGAUUUACUGGGUGUAAAGGGGGCGCAGACGGCGAUGCAAGCAGGGAGUGAAAGCCCGGGGCCCAACCACGGGACUGCUCUUGGAACUGCGGGGCUAGAGGGCUGGAGGGGG
rnacentral:rRNA from 1 species